rnacentral:tRNA from 1 species
GCCCGGCUAGCUCAAUCGGUAGAGCAUCAGACUUCUAAUCUGAAGGUUGCGGGUUCGACCCCCGCGUUGGGCU